CUGCUAUCAGAGUGGGACUAAGCCAUGCGAGUUAACGUAGCAAUACGUGGCACACGGCUCAGUAACACGUGGUCAACAUACCCAGAGGACGUGGAUAACCUCGGGAAACUGAGGAUAAACCGCGAUAGACCAUAAUGUCUGGAAUGAUUUAUGGUUCAAAUCCAUAUGGCCUCUGGAUUGGACUGCGGCCGAUCAGGCUGUUGGUGAGGUAAUGGCCCACCAAACCUGAAACCGGUACGGGCUCUGAGAGGAGAAGCCCGGAGAUGGGCACCGAGACAAGGGCCCAGGCCCUAUGGGGCGCAGCAGGCGCGAAACCUUUGCAAUAGGCGAAAGCCUGACAAGGUUACUCUGAGUGAUCUCCGCUAAGGAAAUCUUUUGACACCUCUAAAAAUGGUGUAGAAUAAGGGGUGGGCAAGCCUGGUGUCAGCCGCCGCGGUAAUACCAGCACCCCGAGUGGUCGGGACGAUUAUUGGGCCUAAAGCAUCCGUAGCCGGUUCUUUAAGUCCUCCGUUAAAUCCACCUGCUUAACAGAUGGGCUGCGGAGGAUACUAUAGAGCUAGGAGGCGGGAGAGGCAAGCGGUACUCAGUGGGUAGGGGUAAAAUCCGUUGAUCCAUUGAAGACCACCAGUGGCGAAGGCGGCUUGCCAGAACGCGCUCGACGGUGAGGGAUGAAAGCUGGGGGAGCAAACCGGAUUAGAUACCCGGGUAGUCCCAGCUGUAAACGAUGCAGACUCGGUGAUGAACAGGCUUCGUGCCUGUUCAGUGCCGCAGGGAAGCCGUUAAGUCUGCCGCCUGGGGAGUACGGUCGCAAGACU
rnacentral:rRNA from 1 species